ensembl:ncRNA lncRNA:CR45530 long non-coding RNA:CR45530
AUGUAUGCAUGUAGACGCACAGACAUCUUCUUGUGACGUUCUUUGUUUGGCGAGUUAAUCGACCUUUUUUUGUUUUGACGCCGCCUGGGAGAUUUGUCUUCGCUUUGGUCAUCAGCCUUUAGACAAGAGAGCCCAACAAUUUAAAAUUUCCCACCAACCCACUCGCACAUAAGCCAGUAUGCGUACAAUGCUAUUUCCAUAUGUACAUAUGCAUUACAAUUGCAUCUGGAAAGUUCCAGGAAUGGAAGGGUCUGAUGAAAUCUGAUGUAUGCUGAUUUCAGCAGCUUAACCCUUGAUGUAACCCCUUAAAAUAGUAAACGUUAUUAACUCUUU